rnacentral:lncRNA from 1 species
UUAGCUAACCUGGCCCAAAGGGCCAAGUGAGCUUUUCCCAUCACUUGGCGUCCGGUGUCCGUCGUCGUCGUCCGGCGUCCGGCGUCCGUCGUCGUUAGCUUUUACAAAAAUCUUCUCCUCUGAAACUACUGGGCCAAAUUAAACCAAACUUGGCCACAAUCAUCAUUGGGGUAUCUAGUUUAAAAAAUGUGUGGCGUGACCCGGUCAACCAACCAAGAUGGCCGCCACGGCUAAAAAUAGAACAUAGGGGUAAAAUGCAGUUUUUGGCUUAUAACUCAAAAACCAAAGCAUUUAGAGCAAAUCUGAUAUGGGGUAUAAAUUGUUUAUCAGGUCAAGAUCUAUCUGCCCUGAAAUUUUCAGAUGAAUCGGACAACCCGUUGUUGGGUUGCUGCCCCUGAAUUGGUAACUUUAAGGAAAUUUUGCUGUUUUUGGUUAUUAUUUUGAAUAUUAUUAUAGAUAGAGAUAAACUGUAAACAGCAAUAAUGUUGAGCAAAGUAAGAUUUACAAAUAAGUCAACAUGACCGAAAUGGUCAGUUGACCCCUUUAGGAGUUAUUGCCCUUUAUAGUCAAUUUUUAACAAUUUUUCGUAAAUCUUAGUUAUCUUUUACAAAAAUCUUCUCCUCUGAAACUACUGGGACAAAUUAAUCCAAACUUGGCAACAAUCAUCUUUGGGGUAUCUAGUUUUAAAAAUGUGUGGCGUGACCCGUUCAACCAACCAAGA